rnacentral:lncRNA from 1 species
CUGGAGAGAGGGCUCAGCCAUCACAAGGGAAAAAAAAAGUCAAAUGAAGAGUCGGGAUGAUGUGGUCUCUCCGAAGGUCAAAGGAAGAAAGUUUCAAUAGCAAUUUCUUUCUCUUUAUUUGGCUCAGGGUACACAUCAAAUCCUUCUUCCCAUGAUGCAAGUCUUCACAGAAGACAAAACCAAUGCAUGGAGCAGGCAAACGUCAAGGAACAGAAAUUGACAAUGCCUUUGAAAUCUUAUGGGGAAAUUACACUCCAAAGUAGAAUCUUAUCCCAGCUAAGAAGGCCUCCUGAUGGGUCAGCAACAACUUUUCAGUCUUUAGGCAAGUUCUCGGAGCCCAUCAAUCUGCCAAUUAGAAGAAAAGGCAAAAGGACCAGCAGGAGUCACGGC